GCUUUUACAGUAUGAAAAUUGGUGAUUUAUAAUAACUUAGCAAAUCGCAUAGGGGAAAACAGGCGAUAAAUCAUUCAAGUUUCUGACCUAUCAGCUUUCGACGGUAUGGUAUUGGCUUACCGUGGCAGUGACGGUUAACGGGGGAUUAGGGUUCGAUUCCGGAGAGGGAGCCUGAGAAACGGCUACCACAUCUAAGGAAGGCAGCAGGCGCGCAAAUUACCCAAUUCUAACAGUUUGAGAGAGGUAGUAACAAGAAAUAACAAUACAAGGCAGUUAAAAUGCUUUGUAAUUGGAAUGAUAGAAAUUUAAACCCUUUUUAAAGUAUCAAUUGGAGGGCAAGUCUGGUGCCAGCAGCCGCGGUAAUUCCAGCUCCAAUAGCGUAUAUUAAAAUUGUUGCAGUUAAAAAGCUCGUAGUUGAAGUUCUGCUAAAAGUAACCGGUCUGCUUUGAAUAAAAGUGGUAUCUUGGUAUGUAUUUAGCAAUGAUGUCCUUUGAAGUGUUUUUUACUUUAUUGUAAUAAAGCAUAUUCAGGACUUUUACUUUGAGAAAAUUAGAGUGUUUCUAGCAGGCCAACGCUUUGAAUACUGCAGCAUGGAAUAAUAAG
rnacentral:rRNA from 1 species